rnacentral:rRNA from 1 species
UACGUAGGGUGCAAGCGUUGUCCGGAAUUAUUGGGCGUACAGAGCUCGUAGGCGGUUCGUCGCGUCGGCUGUGAAAACCUGAGGCUCAACCUCAGGCCUGCAGUCGAUACGGGCGGACUUGAGUACUGCAGGGGAGACUGGAAUUCCUGGUGUAGCGGUGAAAUGCGCAGAUAUCAGGAAGAACACCCGUGGCGAAGGCGGCUCUCUGGAACGCAACUGACGCUGAGACGCGAAAGCGUGGGGAGCAAACAGG